rnacentral:rRNA from 1 species
UGGGGAAUUGUUCACAAUGGGCGCAAGCCUGAUGACGCAACGCCGCGUGGGGGAUGAAGGUCUUCGGAUCGUAAACCCCUGUCGAAUGGGACGAAAGACUCGCGAGUGAAUACUUCGCGAGAGUGACGGUACCGUUAAAGGAAGCCACGGCUAACUCUGUGCCAGCAGCCGCGGUAAUACAGAGGUGGCAAGCGUUGUUCGGAAUUACUGGGCGUAAAGGGCGCGUAGGCGGCCCUCUAAGUCAGACGUGAAAUCCCCCGGCUUAACCUGGGAACUGCGUCUGAUACUGGAGGGCUUGAGUAUGGGAGAGGGAUGUAGAAUUCCAGGUGUAGCGGUGAAAUGCGUAGAUAUCUGGAGGAAUACCGGUGGCGAAGGCGGCAUCCUGGACCAUUACUGACGCUGAGGCGCGAAAGCUAGGGGAGCAAACGGGAUUAGAUACCCACGUAGUCCCUGAGCGGGC